UGGUUAAAGAUGCUAUUAUUUGAGUUUCACUUGUUGGGUGCCCUGGGUUCGAGUCAUGGGUAUAGCAGUUCUGGUUCAAAUUUUUUUUUCUUGCUUCUAGCCUGCCAAAUGUCAGGCACGGCCCUGGGUUGAUCAUUAGUAUAUAUUGCACGAUGACGAUGACGAUGACGAUGAUGAUGAUGAUUUUUGGAAUUCUUAUAAAAGUGAUAUGUAAACUAUAUUAUGAUAAACAAAUUAUUCUUUUUGUCCGUGAUCUAAGAUGAAUUAGUAACAAUCUUUUAAUUGAGAUGAAUUAGUCACAUAUCUCCAGUUCGAGUUGUAAUUUGGGUUUGUAUAAACAACGGUUCAAAAUGUCUUAUAGUUGCGGAAUAUUUUGUUGGGAUAGCAUCUAAAUAAAUAGAUUAAAAAAUAUUAGAGCACUACUUUAUGCAUUUCUCCGACUCUAUAUAAACCCAUAGUGUUGAGCUUUCAUGUUGAACCACUUGAUCAUACUAAGCAAGUAGAAAGAGAAGAAAAAAAAAGGCCAAGUCGUGCACUCUUGUUUCUCUCCUCUGCAUCUAUUUCCUUCUCUUUUCUUCAACUGGUUUGAAGGCGGUGGUGGAGGCUGAGGUAUGUCAAAGGUACAGCGGUUCCUGGUCGGGAAUCUGCCUUUCGUCGAGCAACUGUAAUACCCAAUGCAUUGAAAGGGAACACGCUAAAUAUGGAGCUUGUCACUCUGAUGACAACGGUUUAGCUUGCUUCUGUUAUUUCGACUGCUAAAGAAUACAAGCGCUUGUGUUCCGAAUCUAAGUUGUUUCUUUCUAAAACUCAAUUAAUAUAUAUGCAUUCUGUCGUUAUUUCCCUUGGCAUCGUUGGUGUUGUGUUUUUUAUUUCUUCCAAAAUAAUACAUAUUAUCAUGUGUAACUGUACCCUUAGAUUUGAACAAUUUGCUUCUGCUUUACGUUGCAUGCGUGAUAUGUACUUAUGUAAUAAAACUUAUCAAUGAGAGUUUACUAUCAUGUGACU